GCUGGGCAUGGUGGUGCACGCCUGUAAUCCCAGCUACUCAGGAGGCUGAGGCAGGAGAAUCGCUUGCACCCAGGAGGCAGAGGUUGCAGUGAGCCAAGAUCAAGCCACUGCACUCCAACCUGAGUGACAGAGCGAGACUCUGUCUUAA
rnacentral:SRP_RNA from 2 species